rnacentral:tRNA from 11 species
UCAGUGGCCGAGUGGAUAACGCGAUAGCGUUUCAAGCGAACUGUACUGGGUUCGAGUCUCAGGGUGA